rnacentral:rRNA from 1 species
CCUACGGGAGGCAGCAGUGGGGAAUAUUGCACAAUGGGGGAAACCCUGAUGUAGCGACGCCGCGUGAGUGAAGAAGGAUUUCGGUAUGUAAAGCCCUGUCAGCAGGGAAGAAAAUGACGGUACGUGACCAUGAAGCACCGGCUAACUACGUGCCAGGAGCCGCGGUAAUACGUAGGGGGCCAGCGUUAUCCGGAUUUACUGGGGGUAAAGGGGGCGUAGUCGGCAGGGCAAGUCUGGAGGGAAAGGCCGGGGCUCAAACCCCGGACUGCUCUGGAAACUGGCAGGCUGGAGUGCAGGAGAGGUAAGUGGAAUUGCUAGUGUAGCGGUGAAAUGCGUAGAUAUUAGGAGGAACACCAGUGGCGAAGGCGGCUUACUGGACUGUAACUGACGUUGAGGCUCGAAAGCGUGGGGAGCAAACAGGAUUAGAUACCCGAGUAGUC